rnacentral:rRNA from 1 species
CCUUAGAGUUUGAUCCUGGCUCAGGAUGAACGCUAGCGGGAGGCCUAACACAUGCAAGCCGAGCGGUAGAGAUUCUUCGGAAUCUUGAGAGCGGCGUACGGGUGCGGAACACGUGUGCAACCUGCCUUUAUCAGGGGGAUAGCCUUUCGAAAGGAAGAUUAAUACCCCAUAAUAUUUUGAAUGGCAUCAUUUAAAAUUGAAAACUCCGGUGGAUAGAGAUGGGCACGCGCAAGAUUAGAUAGUUGGUAGGGUAACGGCCUACCAAGUCAAUGAUCUUUAGGGGGCCUGAGAGGGUGAUCCCCCACACUGGUACUGAGACACGGACCAGACUCCUACGGGAGGCAGCAGUGAGGAAUAUUGGACAAUGGGUGAGAGCCUGAUCCAGCCAUCCCGCGUGAAGGACGACGGCCCUAUGGGUUGUAAACUUCUUUUGUAUAGGGAUAAACCUUUCCACGUGUGGAAAGCUGAAGGUACUAUACGAAUAAGCACCGGCUAACUCCGUGCCAGCAGCCGCGGUAAUACGGAGGGUGCAAGCGUUAUCCGGAUUUAUUGGGUUUAAAGGGUCCGUAGGCGGAUCUGUAAGUCAGUGGUGAAAUCUCAUAGCUUAACUAUGAAACUGCCAUUGAUACUGCAGGUCUUGAGUAAGGUAGAAGUGGCUGGAAUAAGUAGUGUAGCGGUGAAAUGCAUAGAUAUUACUUAGAACACCAAUUGCGAAGGCAGGUCACUAUGUCUUAACUGACGCUGAUGGACGAAAGCGUGGGGAGCGAACAGGAUUAGAUACCCUGGUAGUCCACGCCGUAAACGAUGCUAACUCGUUUUUGGGUUUUCGGAUUCAGAGACUAAGC